AAAACAUGUUUUAAAGACAUUCAUAUGUAAUGCUGUAUAAUUCUCAGUGCUGACCAUUAAGCUACAAAAAACCUUUUCUAUUUAACAAAACACUGUUCAAUGACUGAGUGCUUUUCAUCUGGAAAGUUUUCUUUUGAACAUUCAAAUAUUCUUUUAUGAACGUAAACUAAGCAUUUUGUCCUCAGCACAAUAAACUUCUCAGAUGGAUCUGUUUUAAUCAGGGAAAAAAGAAAAAAAAAGGCAGCAGAAAUAGAGCCUGCAGGUGCCCAAACACAGAAAAAACCCCUAAUAAAAAUACAAGAAUCCAAACUGACAUGGUAUUCUCAUUCCACCUCUGUUGGUACCAGCUUCUGAGGUACAAUGACAGAUGUCAAACAACCUCCAAACUGCCAUGCUCGGGAAAAUCCACACAGACUAACACGGCUACAUCCGCAAUCAUAACAGGCACCUGCCCAAAGAAUAUUCCCAAUGGCCCUUGGACAUUGCCUCAUUUUCUCCAGAAGCAGCACUCAAGGCAUCAGCUCCAUCAAUAUACAACCAAUCUUCAAAGACACACUUUGAGGAUCUGGAUGAUUUCUCUUCAGGAAAAGCCAGAGUAGCGCACAUGAAGUUGCACUAGUCCCAGAAAACCAAACCUUCUAAGCAGGCAGAGGCCCCUUGCAGCCACACAUCAUCCUACUUCAAACUGUACAUCAAAAAUUACUUAACCAUUAUAAUCUGCACCAGAUGACUAUAUGUUUUCACAGAAACUUUUAUCGCCUCCAAAAAUACUUCCUCUGAUUCAUCAUCAGAAGCACAGACCAGCACACCCCAAACAAACCCCAGUCACCAGAGAGCACCAACCACGCCACCUGCCAGCACAUCACCCCACCCACUCCCAAUACCACCCUGGAACAGAAAACCAGCCAGCUCCUUGGAACCAACAGAAGUGAUCCAGAAGGAUGUUGCUAAGCUUGCUGAAAAGCUGCCAAAAUCGCCUUCUUGAAAGUAUCAUUAAUGCUGAAGCUGAUGUAACUGCUUUGGUAAACAGCGAAUAGAAAAGUGAUAGAGAAGUUGGAAUAAAUCUGAAGUUUCACCUAAAGACGCUUUAAAGUAGUCCUAAAGGUUUUCUUGUCUCCUGGAGCAUGGGUACAGGACCUCUAUUGUACAGGACAUUGGGAAGAAAGGACCACAAAGAAACCACUCAAAGAAGCCUCUGAAGGGGUAGCCAGAACCAGUGAAGAACCUUUCUGCUGUAUUAUGAAAAGUAAUUAAGUCACAGAAAGGUUCCAGGAUAUGAAUUCAAGAAUAUUAACCUUGCAACUUUGUAAACAUAUUUAAUAUUUAGAGAUACAAUGGAGGUCUUUUCCCCAGAGAAGAAAUGCUAAGUUACAACCUUAGCAUAUAUUGUAAUGGAAUUUCAGUUUCUUAAAAAAAAAAUAAUUAGGUGUAAUAUAAUUUCUUGCAAAAAUAACCUAAUCACUUUUCCCAGUCCUUGAAUUCAAAGAAACUAUUGCUAUUCCACAUCCACAUGUAAUUUAUUUCCCUCCUCCUUCCUGCUGUAUUUUCAUUUAUAGGUACAUGAAGCAGCCACACUUAAGUCCCAUUUUAUAUUCUUUCCUUCAACAAAUAUUAACUCUUACUUAGUAGAUACUCAUUCUUCCCUCAGAAACUACCCAGAUGAUGGCUAUAUUAACAUAUAUGACAGAUUGUACAUUUUUAUUUCUUUCUUGUGAAAGCUCAGUCUGUUUCCAACACAGCACCCAUACGAUUACAUGCAAUGCAGCAGGUUGCUGCUUGAAAAGAGCAGAAAAAUUCAACCAAGCGGUUUUAGAAGUUCAUGGACCUUUUCUCCCAGUUAUAUACGCUUUCAGCUAUCUAACCUGAACCUUAAUGAAAGACUUAAUGAAAAGAAAGAUUUUGUAGAAAGUAGUCACGCCAUAAUUAUGCUGGUGUCAGGGAAAUGGAACAGCAUCCCACUGGAAGAGAAGCUGUACCCCACCAAAGCUUAUUCCAGAAUUAAAGAACACCAGCAGCAUCAUAAAACAAUAUACUGAUGUAAAACUGCAUCUGCAUAGUAGGAUACAUCAGUGUGACUGUUUUGGUUAAAUGGCAUUCCCUGAAAUGCAACAGUUAUAUUGGUAUGAUCAUCCACAUACAGAGCAGACUUUGAACAGUAACUACUACAAAACAGACCCAUGAGAGAGAAAUUAUUAUUCCUGGUUCUGUGGCAAUAGACUGACUUUCAUAAUAAUGCUUAAAUAUCAUCCAGUAUAUUGUCACUUGUUUUAUGUAAAUAAAAUCUUAAUAAAAAGUGUAAAAGUUUAAA